rnacentral:rRNA from 1 species
GAUGAACGCUGGCGGCGUGCCUAAUACAUGCAAGUAGAACGCCGAAGGAAGGAGCUUGCUCUUUCCGGAUGAGUUGCGAACGGGUGAGUAACGCGUAGGUAACCUGCCUGGUAGCGGGGGAUAACUAUUGGAAACGAUAGCUAAUACCGCAUAACAGUAGAUGUUGCAUGAUAUCUACUUAAAAGGUGCAAUUGCACCACUACCAGAUGGACCUGCGUUGUAUUAGCUAGUUGGUGAGGUAACGGCUCACCAAGGCGACGAUACAUAGCCGACCUGAGAGGGUGAUCGGCCACACUGGGACUGAGACACGGCCCAGACUCCUACGGGAGGCAGCAGUAGGGAAUCUUCGGCAAUGGACGGAAGUCUGACCGAGCAACGCCGCGUGAGUGAAGAAGGUUUUCGGAUCGUAAAGCUCUGUUGUAAGAGAAGAACGAGUGUGAGAGUGGAAAGUUCACACUGUGACGGUAUCUUACCAGAAAGGGACGGCUAACUACGUG